UACGUAGGGGGCUAGCGUUGUCCGGAUUUACUGGGCGUAAAGAGCGCGCAGGCGGCUGGUCAAGUCCGAUGUGAAAGCUCCCGGCUUAACUGGGAAAUUGCAUCGGAAACUGAUCGGCUGGAAGGUGGGAGAGGGUAGCGGAAUUCCCGGUGUAGUGGUGAAAUGCGUAGAUAUCGGGAGGAACACCAGUGGCGAAAGCACUCUGCUGGGCCGCGACUGACACUGAGAGACGAAAGCGAGGGGAGCAAAUGGG
rnacentral:rRNA from 1 species